rnacentral:rRNA from 1 species
AUUGAACGCUGGCGGCAUGCCUUACACAUGCAAGUCGAACGGUAACGGGCCUUCGGGUGCCGACGAGUGGCGAACGGGUGAGUAAUACAUCGGAACGUGCCCGAUCGCGGGGGAUAACGAGGCGAAAGCUUUGCUAAUACCGCAUACGAUCUACGGAUGAAAGCAGGGGACCGCAAGGCCUUGCGCGGGCGGAGCGGCCGAUGGCAGAUUAGGUAGUUGGUGGGAUAAAAGCUUACCAAGCCGACGAUCUGUAGCUGGUCUGAGAGGAUGAUCAGCCACACUGGGACUGAGACACGGCCCAGACUCCUACGGGAGGCAGCAGUGGGGAAUUUUGGACAAUGGGCGCAAGCCUGAUCCAGCCAUGCCGCGUGCAGGAUGAAGGCCUUCGGGUUGUAAACUGCUUUUGUACGGAACGAAAAGCCUUCUUUUAAUACAGGAGGGUCAUGACGGUACCGUAAGAAUAAGCACCGGCUAACUACGUG